GGGAAAAUUGGUGGAUUUCAAGUAAUCAAGUAAUCAAAGGUGGUGAGUCCUCCGAUAAGGGCAAGGAAAUUAUACCUGAGGAUCAAUAGUCGGAGUAUAUAGAAAUUCGACUCCUGAAAUAGUUCAGAAUAGACUGUAGAUAGCUGAUUGCAUCGAGGACUAC